UACGUAGGGUGCGAGCGUUAAUCGGAAUUACUGGGCGUAAAGCGCACGUAGGCGGCUUUGCAAGUUAGAGGUGAAAGCCCAGGGCUCAACCCUGGAAUUGCCUUUAAAACUGCAUCGCUAGAAUUGUGGAGAGGUAAGUGGAAUUCCGAGUGUAGAGGUGAAAUUCGUAGAUAUUCGGAAGAACACCAGUGGCGAAGGCGACUUACUGGACACAUAUUGACGCUGAGGUGCGAAAGCGUGGGGAGCAAACAGG
rnacentral:rRNA from 1 species